GGGUCUGAUAACCACCAUUUCACUAAAAUUGGAAUGAUACAGGGGAAAUUAGUAUGGCCCCUGUGCAAGGAUGACAUGAAGGUUUUGAAAGUGUUCCAUAUGUUU
rnacentral:snRNA from 1 species